GCCGGGGUGGUGUAGCCUGGUAAGCAUUAGGGACUGUGGAUCCCUCGGCCCGGGUUCAAAUCCCGGCCCCGGCC
rnacentral:tRNA from 1 species